rnacentral:rRNA from 1 species
AGUGAACGCUGGCGGUAUGCCUAACACAUGCAAGUCGAACGGCAGCACAGUAAGAGCUUGCUCUUACGGGUGGCGAGUGGCGGACGGGUGAGGAAUACAUCGGAAUCUACUUUUUCGUGGGUGAUAACGUAGGGAAACUUACGCUAACACCGCAUACGACCUACGGGUGAAAGCAGGGGUUCUUCGGACUUUUCGUGAUUGAAUGAGCCGAUGCCGGAUUAGCUAGUUGGCGGGGUAAAGGCCCACCAAGGCGACGCUCCGUAGCUGGUCUGAGAGGAUGAUCAGCCACACUGGAACUGAGACACGGUCCAGACUCCUACGGGAGGCAGCAGUGGGGAAUAUUGGGCAAAGGGCGAAAGCCUGAUCCAGCAAUACCGCGUGGGUGAAGAAGGACUUCGGGUUGUAAAGCCCUGUUGUUGGGAAAGAAAAGCAGCAGGUUAAUCCGCCACUGUUCUGACGGUACCCAAAGAAUAAGCACCGGCUAACUUCGUG